GAUGAACGCUGGCGGCGUGCCUAAUACAUGCAAGUCGAGCGAACGGACGAGAAGCUUGCUUCUCUGAUGUUAGCGGCGGACGGGUGAGUAACACGUGGAUAACCUACCUAUAAGACUGGGAUAACUUCGGGAACCGGAGCUAAUACCGGAUGAUAUUUUUAACCGCCUGGUUCAAAAGUGAAAGACGGUCUUGCUGUCACUUAUAGAUGGAUCCGCGCUGCAUUAGCUAGUUGGUAAGGUAACGGCUUACCAAGGCAACGAUGCAUAGCCGACCUGAGAGGGUGAUCGGCCACACUGGAACUGAGACACGGUCCAGACUCCUACGGGAGGCAGCAGUAGGGAAUCUUCCGCAAUGGGCGAAAGCCUGACGGAGCAACGCCGCGUGAGUGAUGAAGGUCUUCGGAUCGUAAAACUCUGUUAUUAGGGAAGAACAUAUGUGUAAGUAACUGUGCACAUCUUGACGGUACCCAAUCAGAAAGCCACGGCUAACUACGUG
rnacentral:rRNA from 1 species